CAAAAUGUCAAAUGCAACUGUUUCUCUUUGCUGUUCUGCACCACAUGCAUGAUACUACUCGGGAAUGUGAGCAGCCAGAGCACAUCAGUCACGUCUGCGUGGCCCGUCUGCCUUGCGGCGAUGCAUCAUGCUGCGGAAGUGUGAAGUCUAUCCACCAAGAGGAGCUCAAAUAUAUACUGCAAGAAGGUAGAAUGUGGAAAAAUACUCCAGAAAACUCUUUUUCUUGCCUUUAAAAGAAGUAGAGACUUUGGAAAUUUCCAAAGCUUUUUUUUUUAUUGUGGCCUUGCUGCAUCGUCACAAAGUGAGAGAAAAUGCAGCUGGUGGGGUUCCCUGCCUACUGAGUAAGGAAACCUACAAACUCUUUACACAUGGUUAAAACAAUUUUCUGGAGGAAUUGAAGAAUCAGUGAAGCAGCUGAAAUAGUGAGCUGUGAGCCCCCCUCCUGACCUUAAUGUUC
ensembl:lncRNA